GCAGUUGAGCGACCGGCAGAAAGGCAUGAAACACAAGAAUGUUUGGAAUUGCCAAGAGAUGUCCUGGCUGGAUGGCGUGAUAGAAGUGCGAGAGAAGGAGGACACCGGAGCCGGAGCUGAUGCUGACGGAGGACUCCCAGCCUGCAAUGACAGACCUGUGGUCAGUGUUCAGACAUCUAUUUGUUGCUGUUUUAUUCUGAUGUUUCCCUCAGAGCCUUUUCAAUCAGCUACAGGCCAGAAGGAAUCAGAACCCCAUGGAAAAGGGCUAUGCCAGGACAUAAGUGGAAAUAUUGGUUUUGCAACUAAACUCACAUUUGAAAAUGAUGCUCAUUCAAUCAAAUAUGACUAAACACUUUUAAGUGUUCUGGAACUAAGGAACUAAGACUGCCUUUACAGAGUCAUCCUUACAAAGCCUUCUUUGGAAAAACUGGCUUACAGAGUUCCCAGCCUUGCAGGUACUUCUCUCAGAGACUAGGCUUCCUGGCAGCUAAUACAAGAGGUGAUGAGUGCACAUCGUAUCUCAGGUGUCUCAUAAAGAAUUCUGGUUGCUCUUGGUUGUCUGAGAUAAAAGGCCUGAUGACUAUGGAGGGGCAGGCUUUCAUAAGAAUUAUCAAUGAAGGCAAGGUGAUGGUUAUCAGGCAAGUCCUUCCAACCUUCAGAAGAACUCUGAAUUAAAGUUGGACUGACCCCUGAGUAUCUGUGAUUCUACCAUCACAGUGCCACAUCAGUACAGAAAAGAGAGCUCCGAUGACACAGAACGCAGUUUGCAGCUUGAUGACAUGUGUAUUCUCGCACUGCUGACAUUACAACCAAGACCUCAGAACUCUUAAGACAACAGCAAUGGUAUGUCCUUGAGGCAGCAGGAAAGUAUCAACAACCUACCUGCCUGCAGUUCACCCAUUCAUGGAUUUUCCCUGCCUAGACUACUGCUCUAAAGACUCUGAUCUGAAGAACUUUUGCUUUCCAUGAUCUUCAAAACCUGCCUCCUCAAACACUGCCCAAUACUCUAGACGAGAUAUCCAGUUUGCUCUGACCUUUACUGUACAUGUUUGGUCCUUCCAGAAUAUUAGGAGCUUCCUCAACUCCUAACAGAUUGCCCAAGGGAGCAUCCUGUGGAAUGGAAAUCCGUUUCCACAUUAUCUCUGUAAUGCCAAUCCUGCUGAUCUCAGUUCAGCAGCAAACUGUAACCCCUGGACACUGGUAUGGUUCUAGAGCCCUCUUGUAACUUUCAAGAGCAUUCCCAAAGCUACCAGCAUCCUAUCAUUGCUCUUGGCCAGAAUGGCUCUAAUAAAGCAUGUAUCAUACACUAAUCAAAAUGGCUUAGCUUUUAAACCACUGUACUUGUGAGAGGACCUAGUAACACCUUCGUAACACUUCCUUUGUCAGUGUUACAAAAGAAGUAACAAGGAUCCCACCACCUUGUAAAAGCUCUAAAAGAUAUGCUGGAAGGGAGUCUACACACACAAAAAAACUUCUGACAGAUUUCACCAACUGCUGUCUUUUUCAAUUUGAUCUUAAAAUGAAAAUAUAAAAUAUGUGAGUAAAAAUUUAAAGUGCCAUUCGUAAAGGAUUGAAUAUAUCUUCAUUCAAGCAUGGGUAUCAUGUGGAUACCAUCCCUUUGUUCAUGAGUAAGGUAUCAUCUGUACAAUAAGGAGUUCCUACUCUAUUACAUGAGAUAAACAGGUAAACAACUAACAGAUAUGACUAUGUGGCAAAACUAAAUAAACGCCAUAUCAGAGAUACAGAUGCUAGUUUCUUGUAUCCUCCCACUACCACCCAUCCAUCCACAAUGAGAACAGAAAGGAAGGAGACAUAAGGGAAGGUUUGGGAAGUCAGUAAGUAGACUACUGCAAUAAUCUAGAUCAAGGGUCAGCAAACUUUUUCUGUAAAGAGCCAGAGAGGAAAUAUUUUAUGCUUUGCAAGUCAUAUUCUCUAUUACACCUACUCAAUUCUGCCAUUGUCAGACAAAAGUAGUCACAAGGAA
rnacentral:lncRNA from 1 species